AUGCCAGAGCCAGCGAAGUCUGCUCCCGCCCCGAAAAAGGGCUCCAAGAAGGCGGUGACUAAGGCGCAGAAGAAAGACGGCAAGAAGCGCAAGCGCAGCCGCAAGGAGAGCUAUUCCAUCUACGUGUACAAGGUUCUGAAGCAGGUCCACCCUGACACCGGCAUUUCGUCCAAGGCCAUGGGCAUCAUGAAUUCGUUUGUGAACGACAUUUUCGAGCGCAUCGCAGGUGAGGCUUCCCGCCUGGCGCAUUACAACAAGCGCUCGACCAUCACCUCCAGGGAGAUCCAGACGGCCGUGCGCCUGCUGCUGCCCGGGGAGUUGGCCAAGCACGCCGUGUCCGAGGGCACCAAGGCCGUCACCAAGUACACCAGCGCUAAGUAAACAGUGGAAUGGCCGAAACUUCUCAGCAGGUGCAUCUACACUAGUGACCUGAGGAGAGAAACCCUAACCCCACAAUGGCUGCAUCUUCUCUGAAGACGAGACUGAUGCUCAUCUUUGAAAUGAAGGGCAGUGUGUGCAUUUCUCCAUGAAGGGGAUGAUCCAGAAGAUGAAAAACAAAUUGUCAUUCCACAUAGUCCUCUUCUGAGUGUUUUUCAGUUUUGUUAAAACUCAGAUUUUUUCUUUUUACCUGAAUGUUUUUUUGUUAAUGAUUAUUAGCAUAUACAGUAUUUUCUUUUAUGUACCAAAAAAAGGCAAUUGAUACAGUGCAUGACUUGAAAAUAUACCUGCCUUCUCUGAGGCUCAAACUCAGGACUGUAUUAUUUGGAAAGCCUUGUUGGGUUGUGGCUCCCAAGAAAUCAUACCUAAUUUCCCUUCUUUGAGAGCACUGAUUUCUGAGUUUCCAUUUCUCCUAGAAGAGAAACAUUGGCUUGUAAGAAUUUAUGUAUCAUCAAGGCUUCCUUUUCCAUCCUGCACUUAGAAGGACCCAAGACUUGAGGGCUGCGCUGUCAACACUAUUCCUUGCUCACCCUCUCUUUUUUCUAAUUAUUUAUGUCUUCCCGCCUUCAGAAAUAUCAGUUGCUCUUUCACCAGCCAUUGUUUCCUCUCUGGCCGUAGUGCAGAGUAGGUGACGUAGUACAGCUGAAAGGAUGAAUGCUGGCAAACUUGCCUCUAGCCCAGAUUUCUCCUUAUUUUAAAUCUGCACUUGCAACCACAUGGCCUGAGACACUCCUCUUGAAAAUAUCACCAAAAGGACCUUAUUAUAAAAAGUCACCGCCAUCUAUUCAGGGCUAUGUAUUAGGGGACAAUAAAGUGUGAGUCAUGGCCAGGCGCGGUGGCUAAUGCCUCUAAUCCCAGCACUUUGGGAGGCCGAGGUGGGUGGAUCACGAGGUCAGGAGAUUGAGACCAUCCUGGCUAACACGGUGAAACCCCAUCUCUACUAAAAAUACAAAAAAUUAGCCGGGCGUGGUGGUGGGAGCCUGUAGUCCCAGCUACUUGGGAGGCUGAGGCAGAAGAAUGGCGUGAACCCAGGAAGCGGAGCUUGCACUGAGCCGAGAUCACACCACUGCACUCCAGCCUGGGAGACAUAGCAAGACUUUGUCUCAGAAAAAAAAAAUUGUGUCAUUUACAUUGUUUUAUUUUAUCCAACUUAAUGUUUUUCACAAACAGGUAUCAUUAUCCUCAUUUUAGAGAUGAAGCUGAGACUCAGAGUAGAAAACUUCCUUAAGUCACAAGAUUGAUAAGUGGCAAAGCCAGUACUAGAAAGCAGAAUAGUUUUGAUUCUGAAAUGUGCUCCUUCUCACGUAUCAGCUCCUGUUCCCUCCACAUUCCUUGUCUGCAUGUACCCAAUGGUACACUUGACACAUAUUUACAAAUUUGUGCAUUCCCACCCAUUAGAUAUACAUCUCCACCUCCAAUGACUUACCAACUCUUGUAGAUUAUUCCCACACAUUUGCUUUCUUUUCAUUCAUUCCUUCAUGCAUUUGUGGCACAUAGCAUUAUGGAGGAAAUCCUGUGUCACAUGUAUUCACUGCAGACUUCAGAGGCUGAAGGAACAUGGCCUAGCAUCUGGGGCCCUUCCUUGUUUGAAAAGUUUCUGGUUUCUCCACUUCUAGGCUCGCCAUCUUCCGACCUUCCUGACAGAUAAGAAAUACACUUCAAAGCUUAGUCUGAGAAAGCAACUUCUCAAAGUUUUUCAAAAGAGCUUGUAUCCUUUUAGUCUGGGUUUUAAACCAUUACUUGUUUCUAUAUACAUUUUUCCAGAUAAGUUUUUAAAAAUUAUUUCUACCGGACCAGGCACGGUGGCUCAUGCCUGUAAUCCCAGCACUUUGGGAGGCCAAGGCAGGCGGAUCACGAGGUCAGGAGUUAGAGACCAGCCUGGCCAACACAGUGAAACCCCGUCUCUACUAAAAAUACAAAAAUUAGCAGGGCGUGGUGGCGGGCACCUGUAAUCCCAGCUACUCGGAGGCUGAGGCAGGAGAAUCGCUUGAACCUGGGAGGCGGAGGUUGCAGUGAACUAAGAUUGUGCCAUUGCACUCCAGCCUGGGUGACAGAGCUAGAUGUCAUCUCAAGAAAAAAAAAGAAAAAAAAAUUAUUUCUACCUAGAAUGUAUGUUUCAUGCCCAACUAAAGAGGUUCUUCUCUUUUCCUCAUACAGAAUAUCCUAUUUCCAUGCCUGGAACCCCCUACUCCCUAUUCUGUCUUCAGUUUCAUCUUCUAAUGCCCAUUCUUGAUCCCUUUGAUCUAUUGCUUUUUUCUAAACUCUCACAGUUCUUUAAGCCUGUUUUGCAUUUUUGCUCUUCCACCAUGUGCUUUAUGUGGCUUCUUUUCUGAACAUUUCCAUCUCAAGAAUAGUAAGUAUCACAUUGUAACCUCACACACUGUUGACACGAGUAAACUUCAGUCUGUUGAUUUGUUCUGAAAACAGUGGAAAUAACUGGUUUUCCUGUCUUUUCUUUCCUUCUUUUCUUUCUCACUCUGUCACCCAGGCUGGAGUGCAGUGGUGCAAUCUUGACUCACCACAACCUCCGCCUCCCUGAUUCAAGCAAUUCUGCCUCAGCCUCCUGAGAGCUGGGACUAUAGGCGAGCAUCACCACACCCCACUAAUUUUUGUAUUUUUAGUAGAGACAGGGUUUCACCAUGUUGGCCAGGCUUGGUCUCAAACUCCUGACCUCAAGUGAUCCACCUGCCUUGGUGUCCCAAAGUGCUGGAAUUACAGGUGUGAGCCACUGCGCCUGGCCAGAGCUGGUUCUUUUUCUUUAGAGCGACUUUUUAUAGCUGUCAAGGUAGAAAACAGAGAAUUUCUUUAUAACUUGCAAUUUCUACAGUUGGCAGCCUCCUCUGCUCAGGCCUUGUCAAUGUCUGGUUUUCCCACCCUCCCAGAAAUGGGGUCUCGAUCUAUCACCCAGGCUGGAGUGCAGUGGCGUGAUCAUGGUUCACUGCAGCCUCAAACUCCUGGGCUCAAGUCAUCCUCCUACCUCAGCCUUCCAAGUAGCUAGAACUACAGGUGUGUGCUACUACAAUGACUAAUUUAUUUUCUUAGAGACGAGGUCUCGCUAUGUUUCCUAGGCUAAUCUCAAAUUCCUGGCCUGAAGUGGUCCUCCUGCUUGGGCCUCCUGAGUCGCUAGGAUUACAAUAAUGUCUAGUAUGAAGGAAGUUUGUCUUGAUAUGUUUCCUGCUCAAAACAAAAUGCAACUUGUCAUUUUCAAACUCUAAAAUUCUUCUGGUGUGUUUUAAAAUGUCUAUACUGUAAUAGCAAAUAAAUUAACUUUUAUGACAGGGAA